rnacentral:tRNA from 1 species
AAGAAAGAAAGACCUAACCUGGGAGGUUGCUAACCCCCCAAACCUGCGGUUAAACUCCGCGGCUUACUUA